AACGAACGCUGGCGGCAGGCUUAACACAUGCAAGUCGAGCGCCUCGCAAGGGGAGCGGCAGACGGGUGAGUAACGCGUGGGAACAUGCCCAAAGGUACGGAACAACUCCGGGAAACUGGAGCUAAUACCGUAUGUGACCGAGAGGUGAAAGAUUUAUCGCCUUUGGAUUGGCCCGCGUUGGAUUAGCUAGUUGGUGGGGUAAAGGCCUACCAAGGCGACGAUCCAUAGCUGGUCUGAGAGGAUGAUCAGCCACACUGGGACUGAGACACGGCCCAGACUCCUACGGGAGGCAGCAGUGGGGAAUAUUGGACAAUGGGCGCAAGCCUGAUCCAGCCAUGCCGCGUGAGUGAUGAAGGCCUUAGGGUUGUAAAGCUCUUUCGCCAGGGACGAUAAUGACGGUACCUGGAUAAGAAGCCCCGGCUAACUUCGUGCCAGCCGCCGCAGUAA
rnacentral:rRNA from 1 species